UACGGGGGGGGUAAGCGUUGUUCGGAAUUACUGGGCGUAAAGGGCUCGUAGGUGGCCAACUAAGUCAGACGUGAAAUCCCUCGGCUUAACCGGGGAACUGCGUCUGAUACUGGAUGGCUUGAGUUCGGGAGAGGGAUGCGGAAUUCCAGGUGUAGCGGUGAGAUGCGUAGAUAUCUGGAGGAACACCGGUGGCGAAGGCGGCAUCCUGGACCGACACUGACGCUGAGGCGCGAAAGCUAGGGGAGCGAACGGG
rnacentral:rRNA from 1 species